GAUGAACGCUGGCGGCGUGCCUAAUACAUGCCAGUCGAGCGAACGGACGGGAAGCUUGCUUCUCUGAUGUUAGCGGCGGACGGGUGAGUAACACGUGGAUAACCUACCUAUAAGACUGGGAUAACUUCGGGAAACCGGAGCUAAUACCGGAUAAUAUUUUGUACCGCAUGGUUCAAAAGUAAAAGACGGUCUUGCUGUCACUUAUAGCUGGAUCCGCGCUGCAUUAGCUAGUUGGUAAGGUAACGGCUUACCAAGGCAACGAUGCAUAGCCGACCUGAGAGGGUGAUCGGCCACACUGGAACUGAGACACGGUCCAGACUCCUACGGGAGGCAGCAGUAGGGAAUCUUCCGCAAUGGGCGAAAGCCUGACGGAGCAACGCCGCGUGAGUGAUGAAGGUCUUCGGAUCGUAAAACUCUGUUAUUAGGGAAGAACAGAUGUGUAAGUAACUGUGCACAUCUUGACGGUACCUAAUCAGAAAGCCACGGCUAACUACGUG
rnacentral:rRNA from 1 species